AGGUAUUUGCGUCACAGUAUUGUUCUGGUUGUCUGAUGAAACAUCACAUGGAAAUACUGUAUUUAUGUUUAUUUUUCUAAACAUACAGUAUACACCGUAUGGUUUCAAUUUCAUAAGGUAUAAACUUUUUUUGAGACACGGGUUAACAACAAAAGUAUGAAAACUAUAUGAUUAGACUAAAACUCCUUGUUUACAUUCAUAUAGCAGUCUGCAUGUGAGAAGCAGUUUGUUGACCAGUGCUAACGUGUGAGAUAAUGCGGUAUGAUGGAAGCAUUUUCUUGAUGUGCUGCCUUAAGAACCCAGUUGUAUUUCCCUUCAUGAAAGUAACUGUGGAAGCUUAACCUCAGAAAGAAUCGAACCCGUUUUGUUUUGACUUGCCGUGUUUACCUUGCAGGAAAGGCAGAGAUACCUGUUUAAAUCAAAGAUGAACACUUCAGGUGAUAGGCACUCAGAAAGAGGCAGUGUUCCCGUGAGCUAGUUAUCAGUAACAGACAUCUCACCUGGUCAGGAUUUAGCAAUCUGCAAAAGCUUGGACAUGUCAGGUUUUAGUAACAUGAAGUAUUUAUCCUGGUAAUACAGCAACACUCAGAGACACUGUAGUCUGAAUUUGAAAAUAAACAUACGUUAAUUCUCCACUUGACCAGGAUGGGGUGUAGAAGCCUAGCAUAAAAUACAGAAAGAGCAGUUCAAGACUGUCGUGAUGAAGAGAGCUGUAUUAAAAAAAAUAUUAAAUCAUGAAUCGGGUAGUCUUGCAGCUGCUUUCUUUUGUCAUUUCCCGUCCAGGAAUUUCUUUCUAGUUCUUGGAAUCACUGGGGAACUGCGAAUCUUAAACUUAUGUUUAGGAGAGGUAUGCAUAGGUAGAAGGUCAUCCAUCUGAUAGGACUUAAUCUUUGUGUGAUUCCUCUUCCCUUCAGUCUCUGAAAUCCAUACGUAUAAAAUCUGUGAUCCAAAUAUGUUUUUAAAAGCCAAUGAGCUCUUCACUGUUACUGUUACCAAAGUGAAUAUUUCACGCUACGUGUUAAACAAACGUUACCCUUUAGUUGGGGACGCAUUCCUUUCAUUUUAUUUACAUUAAUUCUUGUCUUUUUUCUUCAGAAUUACUGUACUUGAAAACACAUUCUUUUGAUUAUAAAUUCAUUGGAACUGUCUGUUAGUUAGAAAUGAUACCGAUCUUAUUAAGUGUUUUAAACAUAAUCUUAGUUAAUUCAAUUAGGGUAGAAUCAAAUCUGUGAGGGAAAGUUUUUUUUUUCCUUUUUUUUUCCUUUUUUUUUCUUUUUUAAAGAUCUACAAAUGAAGCACUGAUAGUAAAAAGGCAAAGGUAUUUUUCAUUUUUUCGGUGUUGCAAGCCUCAGCCAACCUUCAGCCCAAAAAGCAUGAUGUGGAACUGAGUGCAGUGCAGGACUGCAGAGCACCAUGGAGAGACUCCAGAGAACAGCAGCUCAAUGUGCAGAACACAGGCAGAAGGAAACAGGAAACCAUUUCUGCAGCUGCAGCACUUGUUGUAUUCUGGUAUUAUUUCUGCAGUCCAGCUUCUUUAGCCUCGUGCUAGUGAACAGAGAGGAAGGAGGAUACAAAGGCAAUCUAUACCUGUGAUAUGACUCAGGCAGCUGCUGCAGGAGCUGAACAGAUUCCUAAAUAAGACAUGUAGUAGGGACCACAACUCUGUCUUGCCAAGGGCUGUAGGAAUGGGGGAACUAUGCCUGACUUCACAAGAGCUUUAGGAAACAUUUUGCCCGUCAAGAAUCAAAUUUCCUAUUGCGUUUUCUGCUUGCUCUUUCUUUGUUGUUUGUUUGUUUUUUCUUUCUAUGCCUUGCUGAGCUUUUUACAGUCUUAUUUCUAAUAGAUUCCUAUGUACAAAAAGCACUGUUUUCUCCAGAUCAUAAACUCUGAGAGAAGUUUCCUUAUAAAUACAGGAAAUAUUUCAAAUAUAUAUGUAUGUAUAUUAAAGCCAACGUAGGGUAGCAAGAACAUAAAAAGUCUUACAGAAAAAGAGUACUUGUAGGCUCAGCAGGAGCUUCACCUGGGCACUUUGUUCACAUCAGUUUGCUGGAGACUUAGUAAUAUGAUUUCCCUAGAUGCAUGCAAAUAAAAUCUAUGAAGUCUUCAUUUGCUCUAACAAGAUUAAGUAUUUAGGGUUAGACUCUACUGCUGUUUUAAAAUUGAUAGUUUCAAUUAACUAUGAAUUAAUUCUGCUCUGCCCAAUGAUCUAUAAGGAAGUUUUAAUUAUCCGCUUCACUCUUAGAAGAUUUGUAAUACACUAACAUAUAUUUCUGUUCCUCCACUUUUUAUUACAAGUGAGAUUUAUUAAUUCCUUUUACAAGCUUGGGUAAUCCUUAGAUCCCAAACCACACUGUCUUAACUUUUCUUCCUCUUGAUGUGGAGGCUUCAUCGCUUCCAACCUUUUUAACAAAUAAUUCUCUUCUUGACAACUGACUGUCCUUUUCAGCAACAGAAACUGAAUGCUGAAAUAGGAAAUGUUUUCCAGUCUGCUGUUAAACAAAGAGAACUCUUCAUAAUACAGAGGAAGAAAAAAUCUGUCGAUAUGUGUAAUAGCCUUAUUCUCAAGAGGAGUGGAUUCAGGCAGCUUUGUUGCUGGCAGCUCUGGUGGGCACUGUCAAGAUUUAUAAAGAGGGACAUUUACAAGACGGAAGAUGCAGUGUUCUUCCAAGGUUGUUAGAACAAAAUAGAUCUGAAUCUCAUACAAAACAAAUGAACCGAAUAAUUUUAAUUAAUCAAAUCCUACUUUUGUUCCUCAGUGUAAUAAUAUCUUUAACCAUGAAUGCAUUGCUGUUAGAUAAGAAAUGCAGCAAAACAUUCACCUCUUUUUUCAUUCUCUAGCGCAAACAAUAUAACAUAGGUCUGCUGAAUCCAAAAGAAAAAGGAUAUGCUCAUAUUUCAGUCACAGCAGUUAACCGUCGUGUUUGAAAAUGUGUAAUGAAGGGCAUAGUAAGAAAUCUUUUCUCCCUCUGUGUUAAAGUUACUUGCAUAUGUACUGGAACUUGAAUAAACUCAAAUACACAUGCAGCUGAAGCAAAUCCUGGUAUUAUAUAAUCUAAUCUAUAAUAAUCUAUAAGUUCCCCUGCUUCCAAAGAGAAAUGGCCUUCGCCUGCAAAUCUCUGGAUUUGGCAGCUAUGCCUAAUUCAGUUUCAACUCCCACUGACAUCGGCAAAAAUUACCUGAUUAGGGAUGCAGGAUCAGCUCUAAGAUAGUAGCAUAUUAAAAUGCUAUUGUAAAUUCAAAAGCUGCUACCCAAAGUAUAAAGUAUUCAAAGCAGUUGAACGGUUCUCAGUGCACAUAUUCAAAAUGCUGAACAAUAGCAGCUAUUGCAUGUGUGACCAUCAGGAACCACAGCUGUGCUUCUUUGUGUUACAAUUAAUUACUUCCGUUGUAUAUAAAAUUGAAAGUAUUGGUACUCCGGGGCGGAAGAAGGAUAUCCUGAUACACUGCUCCUAUUUCCUUAGGAAGAACUAUGACUGAACCUUUCACCAUUAAUAAAGUUACAAUGACUUUUCCUGUGAUGAAUAAAGGAAGGGUAAAUUUUGUGGUUAAUCUAAUGCUAAUGGAACUUUCUCUCCGCAUUUUCACACUCCGACAUUUGUAUUUCAUUUUACUGUUUUCACAUGCUGUCUUUGAUAACAGUUGCUCACUUCUAAGUAGUUGAACUUAAUAAUGCAAAGUCUAAAAUAAAUAUUUGGCUUAAGGAUUGUUUUUUUUUUUUUUUUUUAAAUGACAUUAGAUCAGAGGAAAGCAGAAGACUUCACUUAUAGGCUGAGUAAAAGCUUCUUACCUCAGGAGCUUCUGAACAGACAGCAGCUUCUGAGACUGUUUAGGAAAUCCGUCCGUCUCAAGUCUCCAUCAGCCAACAGCCAGCCUUCAGAUUCUCUUCUAGUAGGAGAGAAACAAUGGGACUACUGUUAUGUGAAGAGAAUGGUAGGAGAAGAAGAGAUUUCUUAACAACUGUAAGAACAAGCCAAUUCCGUGCUUCUGAGGAAUUUGGAAUUCUCAUCAGCUCUUCAUUUACUGCCAAUGGAUAUUCUUCCUCCAGAAAAAAAGGCAAGAAAUCCUGAUGCUGUUGGACACUCUUUACUGAGCCAUGGUAACUGCUGAUCCAGUUCUGAUUCGGGCUUCUUCAUCUGGAUCUUGCACUGCAGGAAAAAACCAUUUCCAUUAGAACAGAAAUGAAGAAAGAAAUAAUCAGCUACGUGAUAAAAUUACAAGUUCUUCAGAAAAGCGUCAAAAGCCUGUUUAAAGGUACACUGAUGCUGACUUUACAGCAGUGGCUUUUGUAACAGUGAGAAGAGGAGCAGUUUCCCUAGAGCUAGGCAGAAAGAUCUUAGGAAAGCGGCUAUUACUACAACAUCCUUUACUAGCAGCAUUUCAUAGCUGUAGGCAACGACCCUGCAGAGAGGGCUUGCUGUUCUGUGCUGUUCUGUGGAAUCACGUCAGCGUUAGCAGUAGAUUAAUACAAGGAGAAAAAACUAAAUAUUUCUCUGUGAUGUUGGAAAGGUUCUUAAACUAGAACAGAAACAAGAUCUGAAUUUAGCACCAGAUGGUCAGAAAAGUAUUUCUGUAGGCAAUAACCAAAGAAGUUCAAACUCAUACAAUGUUCACCAAAGAUUUAGGUUUAGACUAGAGGCUGAUAGAGGAACAUAGGUACAGUACAAACAAUGAUCCCUAGUUUUUUGUUUUUUACUUCAGGAAUUCACUUCUAUAAAAGUCUGUUACAAGAUACUUAAGUGCUUUAUCCUUUCUCUAAUGAAUUGAAGACUUUUAUGUAUAACUGCUGGAAGGGUCACUGUGCAUAGAUUACAUUUGUAAGAAAGGAUUAUAUGGUCCCAGAUAAACUUUUACUGUACAGUCUUAUACUUAUUUUGGUGAGACCCUUGGCAGAUCAAAGAUUUUCUUCAUAAAGUAUAAGGUGAGACACAAAACUCGGAUUUCCUAAUUCCCUUAAUUUACAUAUAUAAGGCUUCUUAGCCCUCCGUGACAACAACUGCAAGAAGAAUGUGAACCAAGUAUUAGUCACCAGCGUUAGGAUAAGAAAAUAAAGAGACAAAUCUAAAGCCAGGAUGAGGAAGAUGCUUUGUUAUUUGACUUACUGAACUCUGUUCCAGUCAUCUGAGCAAGGAUGCGAAAAGACUUAGACUGCAGGUUGGCAGAACGGCGGCUCCAGUCUUCAGUUUCAUCUUCAGGCUUGUUCUGAGUUUUGAGAACAGCCUGAUACACCGGAGAUGCACUGUCUACGUGAGGAUCUUUAAUAGGAAGGGUACUGCAAUUCAGAAAGUGAAAUGUUGUGAAACAACACGCGGCAGCUUUCAUCUUAACUUCUCUCUGGUCUUACAGCUUCUCAUCCGAACUAACAGCAAUUCAAAACAAAAGGACAAAUACAUAGAUUAACAUCAGGUGAACUAAGAAAGAUUUUGCUCGUUAUAACUGUGCAAUCAUUCAAACCCUUAUAUUAAAAGCACUGUGAAAAUGGUUUGGAGAUACCUGUUCAUGAUUCCUCAGCCAAAGCAGCUAUAAGCUUCUGUGAUGAUAUAAAGGAGACUGUGAUGAUAAAGGAGACUUAUUUCUCCAAGCAUUCUGACCAAUAUUAUUUCUUAUAAAAACAGCUUUGUGUUGGUACUGUUUUACAUUAUGUUUCAUUACAGUUUUGGGCCAGUGUAUUUUAAGGUAGCACAUAAAAACAGAGAAUGCAUUUUAUUAUAUUAUUAAUGUAAUAAACUUUUUUACUAUUAUCUAUUUUUUUCCU